UGCCCUCCGGCCGGGGACAACACUCCGAAAGGGGUGCUAAUACCGGAUACGAAGUCUGUGCCGCAUGGUACGGAUUUGAAAGAUGGCCUCUACAUGUAAGCUAUCGCCGGGGGAUGGGCCUGCGUCCGAUUAGCUGGUUGGUGGGGUAACGGCCUACCAAGGCGACGAUCGGUAGCCGGUCUGAGAGGAUGAACGGCCACAUUGGGACUGAGACACGGCCCAGACUCCUACGGGAGGCAGCAGUGGGGAAUCUUCCGCAAUGGGCGCAAGCCUGACGGAGCAACGCCGCGUGAGUGAGGAAGUUCUUCGGAACGUAAAGCUCUGUUGUUCCUGACGAACCUCCCUUCUAUCAACAACGGAAGGGACUGACGGUAGGGAACGAGGAAGCCACGGCUAACUACGUGCCAGCAGCAGC
rnacentral:rRNA from 1 species